GUCUUCGAGUCGUUGAUUUCACACUGCCGAGAAAAGCCUCUAGAUAGAAAAUAGGUGCCCGUACCGCAAACCGACACAGGUAGUCAAGAUGAGAAUUCUAAGGUGAGCGAGCGAACUCUCGUUAAGGAACUCGGCAAAAUGACCCCGUAACUUCGGGAGAAGGGGUGCUCUUUAGGGUUAACGCCCAGAAGAGCCGCAGUGAAUAGGCCCAAGCGACUGUUUAUCAAAAACACAGGUCUCUGCUAAACCGUAAGGUGAUGUAUAGGGGCUGACGCCUGCCCGGUGCUGGAAGGUUAAGAGGAGUGGUUAGCUUCUGCGAAGCUACGAAUCGAAGCCCCAGUAAACGGCGGCCGUAACUAUAACGGUCCUAAGGUAGCGAAAUUCCUUGUCGGGUAAGUUCCGACCCGCACGAAAGGCGUAACGAUUUGGGCACUGUCUCAACGAGAGACUCGGUGAAAUCAUAGUACCUGUGAAGAUGCAGGUUACCCGCGACAGGACGGAAAGACCCCGUGGAGCUUUACUGUAGCCUGAUAUUGAAAUUCGGCACAGCUUGUACAGGAUAGGUAGGAGCCUUUGAAACGUGAGCGCUAGCUUACGUGGAGGCGCUGGUGGGAUACUACCCUAGCUGUGUUGGCUUUCUAACCCGCACCACUUAUCGUGGUGGGAGACAGUGUCACGCGGGCAGUUUGACUGGGGCGGUCGCCUCCUAAAAGGUAACGGAGGCGCUCAAAGGUUCCCUCAGAAUGGUUGGAAAUCAUUCAUAGAGUGUAAAGGCAUAAGGGAGCUUGACUGCGAGACCUACAAGUCGAGCAGGGUCGAAAGACGGACUUAGUGAUCCGGUGGUUCCGCAUGGAAGGGCCAUCGCUCAACGGAUAAAAGCUACCCCGGGGAUAACAGGCUUAUCUCCCCCAAGAGUUCACAUCGACGGGGAGGUUUGGCACCUCGAUGUCGGCUCAUCGCAUCCUGGGGCUGUAGUCGGUCCCAAGGGUUGGGCUGUUCGCCCAUUAAAGCGGUACGCGAGCUGGGUUCAGAACGUCGUGAGACAGUUCGGUCCCUAUCCGUCGUGGGCGUAGGAAAUUUGAGAGGAGCUGUCCUUAGUACGAGAGGACCGGGAUGGACAUACCUCUGGUGUACCAGUUGUCGUGCCAACGGCAUAGCUGGGUAGCUAUGUGUGGACGGGAUAAGUGCUGAAAGCAUCUAAGCAUGAAGCCCCCCUCAAGAUGAGAUUUCCCAACUUCGGUUAUAAGAUCCCUCAAAGAUGAUGAGGUUAAUAGGUUCGAGGUGGAAGCAUGGUGACAUGUGGAGCUGACGAAUACUAAUCGAUCGAAGACUUAAUCAAAUU
rnacentral:rRNA from 1 species